GAAUAUUGGACAAUGGGCGAAAGCCUGAUCCAGCCAUGCCGCGUGUGUGAAGAAGGUCUUCGGAUUGUAAAGCACUUUAAGUUGGGAGGAAGGGCAGUAAGCGAAUACCUUGCUGCUUUGACGUUAACGAAAGAAUAAGCACCGGAGAAGUCUGUGCCAGCAGCCGCGGUAAUGCAGAGGGUGCAAGCGUUAAUCGGAAUUACUGGUCGUAAAGCGCGCGUAGGUGGUUCUGUAAGUUGGAUGUGCAAUCCCCGGGCUCAACCUGGGAACUGCAUCCAAAACUGGCGAGCUAGAGUAGGGCAGAGGGUGGUGGAAUUUCCUGUGUAGCGGUGAAAUGCGUAGAUAUAGGAAGGAACACCAGUGGCGAAGGCGACCACCUGGGCUCAUACUGACACUGAGGUGCGAAAGCGUGGGGAGCAAACA
rnacentral:rRNA from 1 species